rnacentral:tRNA from 38 species
GCUUCCAUAGCUCAGCUGGUAGAGUACUUCCAUGGUAAGGAAGAGGUCACCGGUUCAACCCCGGUUGGAAGCU